GCUUUUAUAGCUUACAUAACUUAGAGCAUAGCACUGAAGAUGCUAAGGAGGCGAUUAGCGCCUAAAAGCA
rnacentral:tRNA from 1 species